CGCGUAGGCGGGCUUUCAAGUCAGAUGUGAAAUCUGCCGGCUUAACCGGCAGUCUGCAUCUGAUACUGAUGGUCUUGAGUACGGAAGAGGAGAGCGGAAUUCCAGGUGUAGCGGUGAAAUGCGUAGAUAUCUGGAAGAACACCGGUGGCGAAGGCGGCUUUCUGGACCGGUUCUGACGCUGAAGCGCGAAAGCGUGGGGAGCAAACG
rnacentral:rRNA from 1 species